UUGCCAAUCUUUUUAUUUCUAUAAAUUAGAAGAGAACUACAUUUGCCACCAAGAAUAUUUAUGAGUUUAUUGAAUUAAAAUACACCAACCUAAUCAUUAGUGAACAACUUUACACAUACUAUACUAGAUGCUUAAAGAAUGACAAAUUAUGAACCUCUGUCAAUUUGGAAAUUAAAAAUUUCUUUGAGAUGCAUGAAAAUUUAGAAUGACAUUUGAAGGAAAUAAAAAAAGAAAGUAAUAGA
rnacentral:lncRNA from 1 species